rnacentral:lncRNA from 1 species
AGAAUCACUUGAACCCGGGAAGCCGGGCGCGGUGGCUCACGCCUGUAAUCCCAGCUCUCAGGGAGGCUAAGAGGCGGGAGGAUAGCUUGAGCCCAGGAGUUCGAGACCUGCCUGGGCAAUAUAGCGAGACCCCGUUCUCCAGAAAAAGGAAAAAAAAAAACAAAAGACAAAAAAAAAAUAAGCGUAACUUCCCUCAAAGCAACAACCCCCCCCCCCCUUUUCAUAUUCUUGCCUGGAAGAAAGGCCUUGCUUUCCUCAGCUUCUUAAAGCUGGGAGAAGUUAAAGCCAUUCUGAAAUGCUGCUGCUACUGCUAUAUG